GAAGAACAGAAGAUGGAUCGGUCAAAAGCAGCCUUUCACAGGAAAGAUCACUGUUUUGCAAGAGGAGAAGCAAGAAUAUAAGAAUAUAGACUGAUAACCAAAGAAUCCACACAGCACCAGGAGAAGAAGACUGAAGAUUUCCAGCAGCACAGGAGUUAUUCCACACAGAGAAAAGGGAAAAGGAGAAGCAAAGAAACAAGAUGAGUGAUAAUCAGAGAAAAUACUGGAGAGAGAAAAAACUAAGAGGAUGUGUGGAAAAUAACUAACGUAGCAGACCUCAUUGCUAUCCUUGAACGGCCUUCUUACAAGAUUGGCCUUGGCUGGUGUCUGGAAAUUUAGAUUUCCAGAGGAUUCCUACCACCAUUAACCGUAAGAGAUGCAAUUGGUGAAGCCUAAAGCAAAUAUGAACCACCUCCUCACAUCUUCACGAGUAGCUGACAAAUACUGGAGCCUCUUGUGUAACCAGAACAGAUGAGA